CGUCCCCGUGUUAUUUGCGACGCCUU
rnacentral:snoRNA from 1 species